rnacentral:rRNA from 1 species
GUUGACCUCGGAUCAGGUAGGGAUACCCGCUGAACUUAAGCAUAUCAAUAAGCAGAGAAAAUUAGGAGGGGGGGCUCGCC